rnacentral:rRNA from 1 species
UACGAAGGUGGCUAGCGUUGUUCGGAUUUACUGGGCGUAAAGCGCACGUAGGCGGAUUGUUAAGUCAGGGGUGAAAUCCCGGAGCUCAACUCCGGAACUGCCUUUGAUACUGGCAAUCUUGAGACUGGAAGAGGUUAGUGGAAUUCCCAGUGUAGAGGUGAAAUUCGUAGAUAUUGGGAAGAACACCAGUGGCGAAGGCGGCUAACUGGUCCAGUACUGACGCUGAGGUGCGAAAGCGUGGGGAGCAAACAGG